rnacentral:rRNA from 1 species
GACGAACCGUGCGAACGUUGUUCGGAAUCACUGGGCUUAAAGGGCGCGUAGGCGGGCCGGACGGUCCGGGGUGAAAUCCCCCCGCUCAACGGGGGAACGGCCUCGGACACCGCCGGUCUCGGAGGACGUAGGGGCGAGCGGAACGCUGGGUGGAGCGGUGAAAUGCGUUGAUAUCCAGCGGAACUCCGGUGGCGAAGGCGGCUCGCUGGACCUUAACUGACGCUGAGGCGCGAAAGCCAGGGAGCGAACGGG